ensembl:snoRNA small nucleolar RNA, H/ACA box 51
UGCCUCCUUCAGCUUACCACAGGCAGCUGGGACCCCACCGCUGGCUGUAUAGAAAGAGGAGGCACAGCAAAAGGCCCUCCGUGCACCCCAGUCGGGCCACCCCCCGUGCCUGAGCUGUUUGGUUUGUGCGGGCACAGCC